UUACAACUCACAACAGCAGCAGAAUUACAGUUACGAAGGAGCAAUGAAAAUAAGUUUAUGGUUGGGGCUCAACCCAGCACGAAGAACCAUAGUAAAGGAUCGCAGCACGAGGGAGGUUGAGAGCCACGGCUGACAGCAUUGCUCAACUCGCACCCCACUCUACUUAGAAGUUCAAUUUACACAUAGAGCUACAUUCAAGGUCCUUAUGGUGGCCUUUGCAGUCACACCCAGUUUACCCCUUACUCAGUUAGUUGGGUUAGUGUUCAUGAACGUUCCCUCUGUCCUGCCCUGUCUCACUCGGUGGCUCCAGUAAAGGUCUGACUCCGAUUAAAGGCCACGUCCUUUACGACUGCUGUCAGACCCUGACCUGCAUUUACUGACCUUAUCUGUUCACCCUACUUUGGAGGUUGUGUUUUGUCUCUUCCCCUAACUUGUAAGCCCUAGAGGGCAGGGACCAAGCCCCACCCCUUUCCAUCAUCCUCCCCCCCCCAGUAUCUUAUCUGAGGUGAACAGGUGACACUGAACUUGUUUAUAGUGUGACAGGUUUCACCUUCUUAGUAUUCCAGAGCUGCAGCCCAGACUUCUCGUUUUCCUCUUGGAGAAUAAGAAAUCUUUGAGAGAGUGUGGCUGGGUGCGACCAUUCUGGAGUAAUGGCAACACGAGGCGUUCCUCCCACGACCGGUGUAACCGCUUUCAUGUUUGUUGCUGUUGCUUCUCUGUUGUCUUCCCUCGUGGAUGAGACAAAUGACCGUUCCUUUCCAAUCCCGUGGAAAUCAAUUCAUCCAACAAUAGCUAUUGAUUCUCCAUCAGAAGUCAAACCUGGAUGGGUGCAGACCCAGAGUGCCUUGUGUAAAGCACACACCUCCUCAAGCCGUGGCUCUGUGACCCCAGGCUUCUGUAGCUAUGUGCCUGAAGAAUGAAGCUUAUGUUCCUUGACCUGGUUGCAGCUGACCUGAACAGGGUGUGUUCCUGCUUUCUUCCUAGACCCCAGGCCCCAGUCGUAUCAGAGCCAGCCAUAGAAGGACACAUAGGCCUUUAUAAAUCAUACAAAUCGACCACAGGCUUUGCUCUCUCCAACACUCUCCUCUUUUUCCUUAGUUCUUUCCAUCCUUAAUGCCACUCAGUUGUCACUUCCCUGCUUAAGAGCGCUUAAUCCACACUCCCUUUGGCCGGAGAGAAUCCUUCCCACUUCAUGAGUGGCCUAAUAGACAGGCCCUUGCAAUGCUCAGCUUAUUUGAGUGUCUCCCUUACAAGGGGCUCCCUCAUGAGCACCUCUGCAUGGAGAGUAGCUUAUUUGUGGCCUGAGGGCAUAAGAACAGUCUGGCACACAGCAGGUGCUCAAUAAACUGUUGAAUGAGUGUGUCACCCAUGGUCUCUUCUGGUUUGGCCAGUGACCUGCACAUGUGUGAAUCAGUGGCUUUGACAAUACAGCAGUGGCCAGCACAACAAAGAGUACAACUGUGCUCUUCAGAGCAGCGAGUUUUAGACAUUUGCGCUAAUGCUAAUCGGAUGCAGAUGAUAAAAUAUUUCAAGACCACAUUUUCCUUGACAAUGUUUCUGUGUGCUCUGCAGCUGAAGACGGUUGGGAAGUUCAAAUAAAUGAUUAGAGCAUGUAAAACAGACCCAUUAAGUAAUCUGGAUCAUUUCCUGCAGAAGAGAAACUUGAAAAAAAAAAACAACUUAAUAAUAGUUCUUAAUGAAAGGGAAGAUUGUGCUCCAAGGAUGGCUAAGUCUUUCCAUGAAGACAAAGAGAAGGCCAAAGCUGAA